GGCGCGGGCCCGCAGGGAGGCCGGGCCGGACCUGCGCCCAGGGACUGAAUCUCCGCGGCGGGAGGCCUCGGAUCGUCGGGCCCAGGCCGGGCGGGGCACCGGCUCCGAGCUGCGGCCGGGGGCGGCGCAGAGCCCGGGUCACCGCGUCCCCGGCUCCGGAAGGCGCGCGGGCGGGCGCGGGGCCGGAGGGAGCGCGCGCUCGGAGCCGCGUGCAGGGUUCAGCCGUGUUUCGGUUGCCCUCUGACCUGACCCUGGGCGCACAAAGGCCUCCCGGGUGCGCCGCCAUGGCCCAGCCUUCAGUCGCUGCCAAAUUAAUGAGCCCACGUCAGGUUGGGUUUACAGCUCGGCCGGGAAGCAGCCGAGUGGAAAAUGAGCCCGGGGCGGCCGCGGGGCCGGGGAAGUCGAGGCCGCGCCGCGGCGCCCUCCGCUCCCGCUCUCGCUCUCCCUCCUGCCGCCUCCCGAGGGGGCGGGCCUGCCGGGGAACCGGCUGGUCUGCGAGCAACGGGUCUGCCCUGCUUCCCGACGCCGUCGCAGACCCCGCAGAAGUCGAUCUGCUGGUUCAUCCUGAAGUCUGGAAGACUGGCUCCCUGUGCUGACGGCUCUGCUGUCCUAUAGCUCUUUAAACACUGUGGGGAAUUCCAUUCAAGAAAAAUGACCAGACUUGAAGCUGAUAAAGCUUACAGGUAUUGUGAAUCAACUAAAAGAAGAACUAACAUCGCCCCUAAACAAAAAAGGGACUUUGAGUCCUCUUCUGGGAAAGGGUUAUCGUGUUGUGAAGGUUGUACCAUUUCAGGCUGAAGCGUGACUUUGGUGUGGUUUUCAUUUGGAGAUAAAAUAUGGCUUAAGGAGCUGUGUACAGUGUAAGCUGACAAAGGGUCAUCUCUGGCGACUUUGCAAUGUGUCAGUGUGGCUAGACUGAAUUGUGUUUCUCAGAACUUCACUCCGUAUGUUUCCAGUUAGAGUGUGUCACAAGAGAGAUCCUGGUGUGAGAUCUGGAGGCCACGAGAGAAGCAGCAGCCACUGUUGCUGAUGUCCCGGUUCACCCUAUAGUGUCAUGCAGCAGCCGGGCCUACAGCUCCUCCACCUCCUCCUGGGGCUUCCUUCAGCUUCUCUGACUCCUGGGCCGGAUGCGUGUUGGGUCCACAAUGAAGGACAUCAACUUCUGCGGACACUCAGACCAUCAAGGUCAGAAGCAGCCAAAGCUGCCAGCUUAUGUUGUGGUUUCGCCAAUCCUUGCUCUACCCUGCUCUGCACUCACCUUCCCUUCCCAACUGCCUACCCUGCAGACUCUGAUUUCUAGCAUCAGUCACAGAGGCGGCGUUAAAGGAACUGCUUAACCAGCUCCCCCACUGCAUAAGAUCCAGUCUCUGUAACAGUCCCUCUCACGUAUCUACCUCGUGUGCCUUUGCUUCUUCAACUGAGCUCUGACAGGUGCAGAGGCUUAAAGAACACGAGAGUUUAUUUCCUCACACGCAACACUUCAAGGAUGCUGUGCCGUUCAUCUGUGCUCUUCCAGAACCUUCGCAGUUUAAGAUGUGAAAACAGACACUUCCUGAGCCUGAGCUCACCGCGGAGGCCUCUGGGCACUGGAAGAAGGUAGAGCACAAGCUGCUUUGGAUGAGUUCUACUGCGUGGCCCCGACUGGAAUGUUACAUCAAUAACAGUGUGAUAUGACGAUGAUAGCAGCCAACCUUGAUUUGGCCCGUCCCAUGUGCCAGUGCUCUGCAUGCAUCACGUUAUGGAGUUGUCACGAUAAGCCUAUGGGAUAGGGAUUAUUAGUACCCAUUUUACAAAUGCAAAACCUGAGGCUCGGAGAGGUUAAACAGGUUAUUCACCAGGUUAGUAACUGGUGGAGCUGGGCCUCAAACCAUUGGCCUCUCGAGCGUGGGCUCUCAAC
rnacentral:lncRNA from 1 species